AGGAUGAACGCUGGCGGCGUGCCUAAUACAUGCAAGUCGAGCGGUAAGGCCCCUUCGGGGGUACACGAGCGGCGGACGGCUGAGUAACACGUAGGAACGUACCCCAAACUGAGGGAUAAGCACCAGAAAUGGUGUCUAAUACCGCAUGUGAUCUUCGGAUUAAAGCUUCGGCGGUUUGGGAACGGCCUGCGCAUGAUUAGCUUGUUGGUGGGGUAAAGGCUUACCAAGGCUUCGAUCGGUAGCUGGUCUGAGAGGAUGAUCAGCCACAUUGGGACUGAGACACGGCCCAAACUCCUACGGGAGGCAGCAGUGGGGAAUAUUGGACAAUGGGCGCAAGCCUGAUCCAGCAAUGCCGCGUGGAUGAAGAAGGUUUUCGGAUUGUAAAGUCCUUUCGGCGGGGACGAUGAUGACGGUACCCGCAGAGAAGCCCCGGCUAACUUCGUGCCAGCAGCCGC
rnacentral:rRNA from 1 species